CGUUACUGUUACAUUCUUAUGCUUUUUUAAAAUUCUUUCUAAAUGUAAACAAAAUCAAAGCUUUGUGAUUAUCAGCUGUGACUCUGUGACCGGGGAGGGGAUCGAAUUCCCAGCCUGAAUUCUUCUGGCGGUGACUGGGCGUGGCUGCUUCACGUGUUUGACCUCAGAAAUAGAUUCUCACUCCAGAAACUUCCACGAGAUGAGAAAUGAGAGGGCCUGCAGUUGUUGCAGUGGGACUGAAGCAGUGGGGAAGAGGAGAAACAGGAGUUGGGUGAACCAAAUAGUUGCUGGGUAGGUUUGAAAUAACAGACAGGAGGAGGCAGCGGUUUGUUGUAGCGUCUGUGCAGAGUGAGUCGGUCUGUUCCCAGAAGACACACAAGGAAGAUGAUCGACAGAGUCCUGCUGCUCAUCAUCCUCCUGCCCUGUGUCUGUGGUUGGAUCGCUGAUCGUGACGGUGUCACAGAGCUUCCAUCAGGCGGAGGAGAACGACAGCAUCACUCUGGAGUGGAACUUCACCACCAGAACGAACAGCUCGCCCAGUCUGCUUUCUGUCUUCUGUGACCUGAUAGCCGAUCAGGAGCUCUCAGUCCUGUAUCGUGUGCAGAAUGGCGUCGAGGUCUCAGAGCUUCAGGAUAAACGGUUUGCAGGGCGAGUCUGGAGCGACAGCGAUGCCCUCGCAGAAGGACGAAUCGCGCUUCAGCUGUCCGGCCUGACGACUCACGACUCAGGUCUGUAUGUGUGCAAAGUGAGCACGGAUCACGGCUACGGCUCUGACAGCUGCCGGCUCAACGUCACCGCAGCAGGAGACCUGACCCAACCUGAGACGUCAACCGCAGGACUGGUCGGCAUCUUCGUGGGAAUAGCUUUGAUGGGAACGACGGUGCUGGUUCUGUUCUGCUAUCUGUUCAUUCACUCUCUGCCUAAAGAGCAGGAUUACGACUCAGAGUCCAGUUACGAAGCUGAGAAAACUUUCAGUGCGUCAGACGGAUCACUUUAAAAUGAGUCCGUUUGGUUUCUCGGUGCAGGGAGGAUGUGUGCACGGGCGUGCUUAUGGCUGCCCCGGCGUCAGGAGCCAUUUCCGUAGACGAACCUCACCCCUCAUUAGCUCGUGAAGGCUGCCGUUGGUCAGAAAAUAAAGCCAAACAGAUAAAAACUAUUUUGGAUCAAACUUAUUCAGCUGUGAUGCAAACCUGAUGCAGAGGAGAAAGGAAAGGGAGACAUUUCUCACUCGUCUCACAGCAGAUUGCAUGAAAAUAGCAGCAACUUCAAUGAAGACAGCAAAAGGUGAAAACGUGCAGCUCAGUGCUUCCUCAUAUGAAAUAUAAGAAAAGCUGUUUAUAAACAGGCAAAAAUAGAACAUGUGAAACAGGUUUAGUGGAAAAAGAUUAGCAGAGGCAGAAAUGGUCAUACACAGGCAUGAAUGGUUGACAGUAGCGUCAUUUAUUUUGCUGGAAUAACUCAAACAGGUCAGGUCAGUAGCAGUGUGCCCAUUUCACCAGCAGAUGGCAGUGCUUACAUUACACGUGGAGCUCUUAUCAUUUUUGGUCAUUUUCAUAACCUUUAACAGCUUUAAUAUGAAAUUUACAUUUCAUGAAACUAAAAAGAAACAGUGGAUAAAAAAGACAGUUAUUUUUAACCUGUUUCACUGACAGUUCAUUUACAGUUUCAGCUCAGUCAGGAUGUUUUGCACGAGCAGUGAUGGAGGACGGUGUACCUGUGAGGGAGGUUUAUCCAGCUCAUGUUUAUGGUCGGACGAACACAGAGGAGAUUUCUUAGCCUUGUAGAUCCAUAAAAGAGAUUAUUAUCAGUAGAUCUCCACAGAUUUUGACAAAUGCUUCAAACGACGGAUUCCAAGAUAAUUUCAAAAUAAUUCUCUUCGCUGCCUUUUAAAACUUCAUUAUCCUCACAGCUCUCACAGUGAUUACACAGACUCUGCUCUGCCGUACUGCUUGCUGAAAAAGCAGUUCAGACACGUGUGUGUACGUGUUUAGACAUCUUUGUGAGGACAGAAAGUUUGCCAUGCCACUAUACUUGUGGGGACCAACAGUCACUCCCCAUGAGUUUACAGACAUGUUUGAGGCUCAAAGUGUGGUUUUAGUGUCAGGGUCACAGUUAGGCUAUGGUUAGGUUUAGGCUCAGCGUUAGUUCAUGUUUGAUGGUUUGGUUAAGCUGCAAGAGAAAACAUUAUUUCAAUUAAUGUCCUCACUACGAUGUGAAAACGAGUGUGUGUGUGUGUGUGUGUGUGUGCAUAUAUUGUGACUUCCAGUCAUCAGCUGCAGUGCUGAAAGUAUAAAAGGCAAAAGGUUCUUUUAUAAACAAUAAACUAGAUUUUUUAAAUUGUCCUCACAUCU